AUUGAACGCUGGCGGCAGGCCUAACACAUGCAAGUCGAGCGAGCGGCGGACGGGUGAGUAAUGGCUGGGAAACUGCCUGAUGGAGGGGGCUAACUACUGGAAACGGUAGCUAAUACCGCAUACCAUCAGAUGUGCCCAGGUGGGCUUAGCUAGUAGGUGGGGGAACGGCUCACCAAGGCGACGAUCCCUAGCUGGUCUGAGAGGAUGACCAGCCAAACUGGAACUGAGACACGGUCCAGACUCCGACGGGAGGCAGCAGUGGGGAAGAUUGGACAAUGGGCGCAAGCCUGAUGCAGCCAUGCCGGGUGUGUGAAGAAGGCCUUCGGGUUGUAAAGCACUUUCAUCGGGGAGGCGUUACCCGCAGAAGAAGCACCGGCUAACUCCGUGCCAGCAGCCGCGGUAAUUC
rnacentral:rRNA from 1 species